CGCAUCUGUGCAUGCAGCAUAUCAAUAAGCGGAGGAAAAGCUGUUACCUACGCUUAGGAUGUUGACGCGCGUGUGUGCGUGAGUCUAUACAUGACUCUGUGCAUAUCAAUAAGCGGAGGAAAAGAAACUAACAAGGAUUCCCCUAGUAACGGCGAGUGAAGCGGGAAGAGCUCAAAUUUGAAAUCUUAAAGGGUUUCCCUUUACGAAUUGUAGUUUAAAGAAGUGUUUUCUGUUGAGGUUUUGGUAAAAGUUCUUUGGAAUAGGACAUCAUAGAGGGUGAGAAUCCCGUAUUUGACCUUUACUUUCAACUUUGUGAUACACUUUCAAAGAGUCGGAUUGUUUGGGAAUGCAGUCCAAAAUGGGUGGUAAAUUUCAUCUAAAGCUAAAUAUUGGCGAGAGACCGAUAGCGAACAAGUACCGUGAGGGAAAGAUGAAAAGAACUUUGAAAAGAGAGUUAAACAGUACGUGAAGUUGUCAAAAGGGAAGCGUUUGACACCAGUGUUGUUUUUCUGAAAAUCAAUUAAAGAACUGUUUAUGCUAAGCUGUUUAGACUUUAUCAGCUAACUGUUUAGUUUUGAGCUUUUCUUUAAUGCACUUUUCAGUUAACAAGUCAACAUCAAUUUCUUUUGCUGUAAAAAAGCUUGAGGAAGGUGGCUUGAGAUUCGUCUUAAGUGUUUAUAGCCUCUUGCCUAUGCAGUCGGAGAGAUUGAGGUCUGCAGCGUAGAUCCUUCGGGGCUAAAUGCAUUUGUGCUAAGUUAUAGCAUUUUAUAGACGACUUGUUGACUAUGAUUUGUCUUGUAGCUUACUCGCUUAUGUUAUUUUACCUACGCUUAGGAUGUUGAGCGCAUGUCUCUCUCU
rnacentral:rRNA from 1 species